rnacentral:rRNA from 1 species
UACAGAGGUGGCAAGCGUUGUUCGGAAUUACUGGGCGUAAAGGGCGCGUAGGCGGUCCCGUCAGUCCCUUGUGAAAUCCCUCGGCUUAACCGGGGAAUGGCGUCUGAUACUGGAUGGCUUGAGUUCGGGAGAGGGAUGCGGAAUUCCAGGUGUAGCGGUGAAAUGCGUAGAUAUCUGGAGGAACACCGGUGGCGAAGGCGGCAUCCUGGACCGAGACUGACACUGAGGAGCGAAAGCCAGGGGAGCAAACGGG